CCUACGGGAGGCAGCAGUGAGGAAUAUUGGUCAAUGGACGAGAGUCUGAACCAGCCAAGUAGCGUGAAGGAUGGCUGCCCUAUGGGUUGUAAACUUCUUUUAUAUGGGAAUAAACUGUUCCACGUGUGGGAUUUUGUAUGUACCAUAUGAAUGAGGAUCGGCUCACUCCGUGCCAGCAGCCGCGGUAAUACGGAGGAUCCGCGCGUUCGCCGGAUUUAUUGGGUUUAAAGGGAGCGUAGGUGGAUUGUUAAGUCAGUGGUGAAAGUUUGCGGCUCAACCGUAAAAUUGCAGUUGAAACUGGCAGUCUUGAGUUCAGUUGAGGUGUGCGGAAUUCUUGGUGUAUCGGUUAAUUGCUUAGUUAUCACGUAGAACUCCGAUUGUGAAGGCAGUUCACUGGUCUUCAACUGACACUGAGGCUCGAAAGUGUGGGUAUCAAACAGGAUUAGAUACCCUUGUAGUC
rnacentral:rRNA from 1 species